rnacentral:lncRNA from 1 species
UACUUUUGUUCCCUGGGGUGAAAAGUGACUAAUGCAUAGUGACAUUCCCUGAUUACUCCAUUGGGCUGGAAACUACAAUCACUGGUGACUGGAGAGAAGCAACACCUGAAGAAGCUUUCCCAAAUCUCCAGGUUUUCCUCCAGUACCAACUGUCACUCUCUUCCAAGAUUUUCCAAAGAGCAGAUCCAAACCAGCCACCCUCAGAGUAAGCACCCCCAAGAGUGUUGGUCAGUUUCCCAACAGAUCUUUUAG